AGCGCUGCCUACCUUGAACUCCGCGGAAAGUUGGGGCGUGUAUUCGCGAGUCCAGAGCGCGCGCACCAGCGCCGCCAGCUGCUCGGUGACCUCGGCGCGGCCCGGAGCCGCCCGGUAGCGCCCCAGCGCCAGGAACUCGGCCAGCAGGUCGGUGUUGCUGAGACACUGCACCACCGCGUUCAUGAAACAGGUGUUGCCGUGGUUCUUCAAGCCCUGAGCGCCCGGCGGCCGCGCCCAAGUUCAGGCCCUUUCCAGCCUCAGUAUUUGCUAACCAGGAAGUUUUCAGGCUCUCAGGCGCGCCCCCUACGCGGUUUCUGGUUCACUCCUUAACGCACGAUCCUUGUUGAAUGAUUGCCCAAUCAGAAUUAGUUUGGCCUUGCCCCGCCCUUGAUUCCCUGGGUAACCCUGCAACUGUCAGGUUUAUAAUUAAUCAGGCAAGGUCUUGCAAAAUGACUUUCUCGUCAAUUUCUAGCUCAGGAAGAGAUCAGCCAUCUGUCAGCAGUUUAGUCCUGGGGUUCAUUUUUAGAAUAUCUCCAGUCGUGGUGCCAAGGUAGAAAAAGCAUACUUACUCCAAUACUCAUGACUAUUCUUUUCAACUGUCCUGUUUGGCACUCAGUUGGCCAGAUUUUUCUAUUUGGAAGAUCCAAUUCCCAUACUCGAAUUGUCCCACU
rnacentral:lncRNA from 1 species